UGAACCAGUUGGUGGCAGUAGUGCACCGAGUUGGGUUAAAACCUGCUGUUUAACAGAGCAGAAGAAGAAGACUUAGCUGAGUUGCAACACUCAACUCCUUUCUGUUUUAGCAAAUAAAAGUUUGUGUUCCACAAGUUAAUUCGCCUGUUCAGUCUCUAUACUAUGAUUAAGAGACGACUGAGAGCAGAAGAGGAGACUAACGCUGGAUGCUCGUUGACUGGGAUUCCUCACAAAGAACCACCACAUAGCUACCAUCAGUUAGCAGCUAGCUUCAAAUGGCGCGGCCUUUGUACCGUGAUAUCGACGCUGUGACUAUCAAAAGAAGCAACCACGCCGGCUGCCAUAAGAUCCUCCAUCUGAUCAGUGGGUUGAGUGUUUGCCUGCAGUUGAUUCACAUCAGCCCAAUUAUGCAGAGGAAAAGCAGAAUGACAUCAUUCACAGUAUCGAACAGCUGAAUGACAAAGUUGAUG